UACGUAGGGUGCGAGCGUUGUCCGGAAUUAUUGGGCGUAAAGAGCUUGUAGGCGGUUUGUCGCGUCUGCUGUGAAAGUCCAGGGCUCAACCCUGGGAUGCCGGUGGAUACUGUCGGGCUCGAGUCCGGAAGAGGAGUGUGGAAUUCCUGGUGUAGCGGUGAAAUGCGCAGAUAUCAGGAGGAACACCAAUGGCGAAGGCAGCACUCUGGGACGUGACUGACGCUGAGACGCGAAAGCGUGGGGAGCGAACCGG
rnacentral:rRNA from 1 species